rnacentral:tRNA from 5 species
AGAGAAGUGUCUGAGUGGUCUAUGGUACCAGUUUUGAAAACUGGCAUACUUUAAGUAGUAUCGUGGGUUCGAAUCCCACCUUCUCUA